AUUAAUAUAAUCACUUUAAUUAAAAAAUUAAAAUACUUUGGUGGAAAUAACUGAUUUUAGAGUAAAGUUUAUUGAAAAAAAUAUUUGGUGAUAGGGCAUAGUACUGUAAAGGGUAUAGGAUAAAUAAGUGAAAGAAGUUUUUAUUUAAUGUACCUUUUGUAUCAGGGAUGAUUAAAUUAAAACAUUUAUAUGUUUUUCUCGAAAUUGGGGGAGAUACAAUGAAUGUUAGUUAAUGUGUUAUAAUUAUUGGUAAUUUUAUUGUAGUAAUGAAAAGUUAUUCGUCCUUAAAUAUCUAGUUCUUUAAGAUUUAAAUUAAAUUUAGAAUUCCUUAAUUUAAUUUUUUAUUUUAAUUAAAAAUUAAAAAGUAAUUUAAUAUUUGUGGGGAUAAGCUUGCGAAUAUGACUAAAAAUUUCUGGUGAUUGAGAGAUUUUGUAAGCUUGAAAUCAGCUAUCAAUAAUUUCGUUAUAGAUUAGUCUCUGUUGAUUUUUAUUUUAAGGGAAGUUUAGAUUUUUAUUAAAGUGAAUAAGUUAAUGGUUAUUUGGUUUUAAUAAUGAUUGUAUUAGUAUACUGUUAAUAUGAGUUAUAGGAAUUCGGCAAAUAUGAGGCCUGCCUGUUUAACAAAAACAUGUUCUUUUGUUGUGAUAAUAAAAGGUUUAGCCUGCCCAAUGAGUAUUUGAAUGGCCGCGGUAUUUUAACUGUGCUAAGGUAGCAUAAUCAUUUGUCUCUUAAUUAGGGGCUUGUAUGAAGGGCUGGACAAGGUUUUCACUUUCUUUAAUUUAUGAGUAAAAUUUGUUUUUUAAGUUAAAAAACUUAAAUUUUUUUAAGGGACGAGAAGACCCUAUAGAUCUUCAUAAUAUGGAAAAUGGAGUCUUUGGUUAUAUAAGAUAUAAAGUUUGUAAUAUUAUUUGGUUGGGGUGAUUUCAGGAAAAAUUGAACUCCUGAUAUUAUGUUAUCAUUAAUGAGUGUUUAAAUGAUCCAUUCAUAGUGAUUAUAAGACUAAGUUACCUUAGGGAUAACAGCGUAAUUUUUACGGAGAGUUCUUAUCGAUGAAAAAGUUUGCGACCUCGAUGUUGGAUUAAAAUAAGUGUUAGGUGAAGUAGCUUAAUAACUAGGUCUGUUCGACCUUUAAUUUUUUACAUGAUCUGAGUUCAGACCGGCGUGAGCCAGGUCAGUUUCUAUCUUUAAUUUUAUUUUAUGUUAUAGUACGAAAGGACCUAAUAUAAGGAAUAUUUUUUUUAAAAUGAUAAAAAUU
rnacentral:rRNA from 1 species